rnacentral:lncRNA from 1 species
ACUGUGAAGUCACAAGAGGCCCUGAGCUCUGUGGGCCCCAGGUGCCCCGGGAAAACUUGGGGGAGAAUGGGCAUCCCACCCCAGCACUUUCUAGGAAGAAGGGCAGCAUUUUGAAGGGCUGGAAGUAGAGGAAGGAGGUUGCGGGUAGAAGACUCCAUACUUUCUGUGACGCCUAUUCCUUAGGAGAGCCUUUAUAUAACCAAAGAUAUUUUUGGACCAUGAAUUCAGAAAUUCUCGGAGCCACCCAUCAGUGCCUGAGCUUCAGUGAGUCCAUAUCCCAUGUCACCCACGGCAAAGGAGACUCUAAGACUUCUGAAGAGUUUCUUGCUUCUUUCCUGUGGGGCAGUGACUCCACUUCCCAGCAGUAAUGGAAUAUCCUGAAUUAGCUACAUUAAUGUUAGAACCAUUUGGACCUCACCCAGGACUUCAACUACAUUAUGCUAAAGUUACAGAACCCAAAUUUGGCAACUGUCUGCAUCUGAACAACAGAAGUUUCAACAUUCUGCCAACAGAGUAACUCCUGGACGAUUGGCACAGAAGAAGGCACAAGGUUCUAGUAUGUUACGUUUAUGUUCCCCUGCUUUCUACAAUCCUGUUCAAAGAGUUGCUGACUUAACCACAGAGAGGAUUCCAGAACCUGAGACACAGAAUAAACUUGAGCAAUCAUAGUCCAUCCACUUCAUUGUCUCAUCAAAAACCAAAGGUCCAGUGAAGCUCUGGAACUCAACGCUGUAAAGGAGCGAAGGAGCUUCUAUACAGAGCCUGGAUGCCUGUCUCCUUAUCCUACUUCAGUGGACUUGACUGCAAUCCGGAUUAUGCUGUUUUCUAAGCAUUUAAAAUAAAAUAAAAAGUAUAAUAGUGUGAUAAGUUCUUUCACAAAGCAAGCAAUCACAUUUAUGUUUCUACUUACAUUUGGGUUUUCCAAAUAUGUGUGUGUGUGUGUGUGUGUGUGUGUGUGUGUGUAUGUAGACUUUAAACAUGGUGCAUCCAUCAUGUUGCACUAAAUCAAAACCACCAAAUAAUGAUGUAGAACUAAUAAAUCAAAACCAUCAAAUAAUGACAUAGAAAUCCAAUUCUCCCACCUUACACCCAUUAAGAUGGCUACU